AGGAAUUGACGGAAGGGCAC
rnacentral:ncRNA from 3 species